UGGGUUCAAGGUUCACCAGCGAUCCGGGGUCCUUGUUUGCACUUCUCUGCUAGUGGAGACAAUGGGCGGCCUCCUGCAUCUCCCCUGUUUCUUUUUCUUAGUAAUUCUUGAAAGGUGAAUGCUGCCUGAAGGGUUCGAGUCCUUUUAAGACUCUUCAUUCCGCAUCUGCAGACUAGAAAUAAGCAUAUGAGAACAAAAAUGAGACAAGCAAUAGUGGUUAUGCUGAGAGGCAAAUGAAUCAGUCUGUAGUAAGUUUCUUUCUGGGCCAACAGUUCUUUGAGUCCCAAUUUCAAUGUCCAACAGUUUCUUAUGUGUACAUGCCAGCAAUUAUAUUCUAGUUCUGGAUGGUGGGCAAACGAUGGCAAUGCAGGUCCAACCUCUGGUUUGGUCCUGGGCUACCUACAGUGAUGCACAGCUGCUGACUGCUAGCAUGGCAAGGUGUCUUCACCAUCUUCCAUCUCUGGAUUGUUUCUCCUCUUGUCUUCAUGUGUUGUCAGUUCCUCUCUCGGAUUCAUUGUUGCAGGAAUCCACACAGGCUUAGAGGAGUUUUCUGGAAAUAUACAAACAUAUUCUCGACCAAAAGUUAAUAAAGGAAUCUUUUCUAUAAACUAGACUUGGGAUCCUUUCUUUGCAUUGUGCCCAAACCAUUUUCCUUUGGCUUAUUUUGACACCAUGUGUGUUUUCAUGGGUGUCUUGUCUUCAGCA